AGACCCUUAUUGCUUCCGUGGGAAUUAACAGGGUUAGUAGCAGCCAGGUGGUAAUUAUAAAAUGAAGUUGAUUAAUUGAUCAUGAGCAAGUGUCUGUAAAUCAGACGUUUUGCCAGUUUGCUGGUCUGGACUAUUCAGGUGUGUAUUAUUACAAUACCAAGGAGGAAAUACAUCAGCGCUGAUCUGAAAGAAGCGCUUGUUGCAUCCUGUCAAUCUGGGAAGGGUUAUAAGGCCAUUUCCAAACAAUUUGAAGCCUAUUGCUUCUACAGUGAGAAAGAUUAUUCACAGGUGCAAAACAUUCCAGACAGAUGCUAAUCUUUCCAGGAGUGGACACCCAAGCAAAUUCACCCCAAGGUCAGAACGUGCAAUUCUUAAAGAAAUUACAAAAAACCUUGAGCUACAUCUAAGACUCUACAAGCCUCAGAUAGCAUGCUAAAUGUUAGAGUCCAUGACAGUACAAUUAGAAAGACUUGGCAAGUGUUUCUUGUUUGCCAGGAGAAACCCACUUCUAUCUAAAAAGAACAUGGCAACAUGACAAAGGUUUGCAAAGUUGCAUCUAAACAAACCACAAGACUACUUGAACAAUGUCCUUUGGACAGAUGAGACCAACAUGAAGAUAUAUGGACCUAAUGCACAGCAUCACAUUUAGAUAAAAACCAAACACAAAGCAUAGGCAAAAAAAAAAAAAAAAAAAAUACUUUGUGCCACCUGUCAAGCACAGUGGUCAAGGGAUGAUGAUUUAGGCUUGUUUUGCAGCCAUUUGAACUAGGCACAUUGUACUCACUGAGCUGACCAUGAACUCCUCUGUAUACUAAAGUAAACAGGAUAAUAAUCCCAAUCACACCAGAAAUCUACAAUAGAUGCUGCUAAAGGACGUUGGAAUGUACUUAGAGUUGUAGCUUUUCACACAUUCUGCAUUUUGGCUUUGUUUUUGUUAAAUAAUAUGUCAUGUUUUGGAGCUGUGGGUAGUGACCGAAAGAACGAGAUCGCGGAUACAAGCGGCGGAAAUGAGCUUCCUCC
ensembl:lncRNA